GUUUGGAGUCUGCGCAACAGAAAGCUAUGAAACUGGUCAGAUCCGGAAGGAAGCAGCCAUAAGUAGUUGAUUCUGUGUGCCGCAGGUUGCUCUAAACU
rnacentral:SRP_RNA from 1 species